rnacentral:lncRNA from 1 species
ACUAUUAUGGUGGUAGCACAUAUGGUACCGCAAACCGAAGUCAAGAAGUUGUGGCUAAUCCCUUUACCAAACCCCCUAUCUAAGAAGUUGAGGCUAAUUAUUGACCAAUAAUUCUUGUAACCCUAAUCAUGAUAAUCAUACUUAUAUGGUGGAAUAUCUGUUUGAUAUAAAUUUUUUGAAUAUUAUCAAUAACCCCCAACUCAAUUUGAAAUCAAAUAUUAUGGAUGUGAAGAUGUAUCUAUUAAGAAUAAAAUAUUGAGUAAAUCAUUUACUUAAAAUGGAAUACAAGAAAGAAAUUAAUACCUUUAUCAACCUCUUAUAUUUAAUAUCCUCCAAUAUCUUAUUAAUCUAUUUUAGAAAUAUUUUUU